AUCUUCCAGUACAGUGUUGGAUGGUCUAAUUGUGAAGCUCCUAACACUGUCUGGUAAAGAUGG
rnacentral:pre_miRNA from 2 species